rnacentral:tRNA from 1 species
AUGAGCUUGAAUAGCAAUUGUUUUGAAAACAAUAGAUAAAGAUUAAAUUUCUUUAUUAG